rnacentral:rRNA from 1 species
AGAGAUGCAUUGGGUUUAAAGCGUGCGCAGGCGGUUUUGUAAGACAGAGGUGAAAUCCCCGGGCUCAACCUGGGAACUGCCUUUGUGACUGCAAGGCUGGAGUGCGGCAGAGGGGGAUGGAAAUCCGCGUGUAGCAGUGAAAUGCGUAGAUAUGCGGAGGAACACCGAUGGCGAAGGCAAUCCCCUGGGCCUGCACUGACGCUCAUGCACGAAAGCGUGGGGAGCAAACA